CAAACCAAAGCUGGCGACCGGCGCACGGGUGAGUAACACGUAUCCAACCUGCCUCAUACUCGGGGAUAGCCUUUCGAAAGAAAGAUUAAUAUCCGAUAGCAUAUAUUUCCCGCAUAGGUUUUAUAUUAAAGAAAUUCGGUAUGAGAUGGGGAUGCGUUCCAUUAGUUUGUUGGGGGGGUAACGGCCCACCAAGACUACGAUGGAUAGGGGUUCUGAGAGGAAGGUCCCCCACAUUGGAACUGAGACACGGUCCAA
rnacentral:rRNA from 1 species